GUUUUAGCAUUUUCUUUCUCAAGCAUAACAAAAAUAUCAAAAAGACAGAGUAAAGAUAAUCUUCAUCUCCCUUUGCUUCUUUGUUAUUUUCUUUGUUGUUGAUCCUUGUUAGUGUUAGGUUUAUUUUCUGUUUUCAUCAUUAAAUUGGGUCACCUAGAUUUAGCCGAACGUAGUCGUCGUCGCCUAGUCCCGUUGGAGAACACGACAUACGUAGUUUGGGGCAUAAAAAUCCCGCUAUAUUACAUUAGAUUAUUUUGGCGUCGUUGCUGGGGACUAGCGUCGAGCGAUUGUGUUAGGUUAUAGGCUAGAUUUACUUUAGUUCCUUGUUCAAUUCGUCGUGUAUUUCAUCUUCAGUGUUUUUCCUCUACUUUCCCCCAUUGUUGCUUCGGCUUAUUAGGAUACUAACCUUCUGACUAGUGUUUACUGUUUAUGAGUGUGUGUAGGGAAUCAUAAAUCAUUGCUGGUUGUUCUAUAGUUACACUUGGUUAAGAUAUGGCAUUGCUUUGUGAUCUUUGGAUGCAAAGUAGUCAAUGUUAUAUCACAGGACCGGUUUCGCCAACUAUUGAGGCAGAGAAUUUUGACAUGAAGCCUGGUCUUAUUGCUUUGGUUAAACAACAACAGUUUGGAGGACUGCCCACUGAGGAUCCCUAUGAGCACUUAUACCGAGUCAUGGAGUAUUAAGGUACAGUCAAGUACCAUGGAGUUCCUCAAGAUGGUAUCAAGUGCAAGCUGUUCUCAUUCUCUCUCCGGGAUGAUGCUCGUGCUUGGUAUCGAUCCUUGCCAUCAAGAUCAUUCAGUUGGAACGAGAUAUCACAAGCUUUCUUGGAUAAAUAUUUCCCAUUACACAAGCAGUCCGCAAUUCGAGAUGAGAUCCUCAGCUUCGUUCAGCGUGAAGGCGAGAGCUUGUAUGAUGCUUGGGAGAGAUACAAGGCUUUAUUCAGGAGAUGUCCUAACCACGGGCUCGAGAGAUGGUUAGAGCUGAAGAUAUUCUAUAGAGGAUUGACUUGGGACACUCGAGCUUACGUCGAUAUGGCAGCGGGCGGAGCUAUUACAAACAAGACACUUGAUGAUGCUUUUCUGCUGAUUGAGAGCAUAGCUUUCCACCAACUUCAGUGGUACAAUGAUAAGCCCACCUCUGAUUCAUUGGUUUGCUUGCAACAAAUCACUACACCUCAGCCGCCAAUUCUUACACAAAAUCCUGAACCUCUAUCUCAGUGUCACAAGAUUGAGCUUGCAUGGAUUAUCUUUGACGAUGAUGACACCAUUCUAGUUGACACACGCGCUACAGAUCACAUGGAUACUAGUGUUGGAGAUUCAGUUUUGCAUUGUGAUGAUUCUUCCAUGGAUGAGCCGGAGCUGCAGUUAGUUGCUUUUGAUAUUGAGGAGUCACCUUUAGUUCAUAUUGAGCAUGUGCUGGUAGAGCCAGAUAUGGAGAAGUUCUCCUUUGAUGAUGUCAGCUGCAUUGAUUCCUCAACACUUGAGCCUGAGAUGGAGAGCUUCAUGGUUGAUUAUGAUGAGGUGGAUUCAGAUGUCAAGGAGCCAAGCUCUACUAUUUCACUUGUUGACAUGAGUCCAGUGGAAAUUUCUACAAGCACACCUCACUUGGUAUCUUCAAUUGAGGUAGUCCUGAAGGUUCUUCCCAAGUAUCUCAGGUAUGAUAUCAGCUUUCUCGACAAGAUAUGCCAUAUCAUGGAUACUGCCUAUGCACCAUGUGACUUGUUGUUGAUACAUGUUCCUGACUUGCUCAAUAGAUAUACUUAUAUGAUAGGGUACUCUAUCGAUGACUUAGAGGGCAUUCUCUCUGUCACUUGUAUUGGCUUGGUUGUUGAGUGUUCCUUCAGGUUGAUGCUUGUGUACCAUUUACUGCGAGUUGACCGAGUUCGAGAUGACAUUCCCUGGGAUCCUGGUGGAUUCACGACAUGGUGAUGAGGAGAAGCAAUGGGGCACACACGAAGAAGAGUGAAGCUGGAGCAUCCAUAAGGAAGGAAAGGAGAAGAGCUGCAGUUGGUGAGGUGAUCAAGCGAGUGCUACUUCAUUAAGCCCGGUGAGCUGUUUCAUGACCCAUUCUGAAUAUCAUAAAUACAUGCUAAAUUCAAUUGCUAGUUGGGUUGCUUGAGCCAGUUAUUACUUGUUGUCAAGCUGAAUCUCACCUUUGGCAUUGUGCUUGAUGUGAAUUUGUGAACUUGAUUUUUGAAUGCCUUGUAAACUAGUGAUCUACACCAUGCAUGCUUUGCUAAAAUUCAUGAGAACUACUAGUUUUGAGUGCUCAAAUCCCUAGUACACUAGAAAACUUCGUCAUUUUGUGCAUUUACUACGAUACACCUAGAUCACCACGUUUAGAUGUUGAAUUUGUGCCAAGUGUCUUCCCAUUGAGAGCAAUCACCUAACCACUAUGGAUUAGCAUGCUAUGUUCCCUGGAUCGGUAGCAUGUGAACCAGACAUGGAGAAGUGAUGAUUCCUGUUUUUGUUCUUAUGCGUUGUUCAUUUAAGAUAAGUAAUAAUGAAUAAAUAAGUCUGGCUACCUACAGUAGCAUGUCAUGUUCCCGGGAUCGGUGGCAUGUGAAAUCGGGUUAGCUUGGGCAGUAAUUAAUAAUAAUAGAAAUGUAAUUGUCGAACCAGGUGUAUACCAUGUUCUCGGGAUCGGUGGUAUGUUCCUUUGGGGAGACAAACUAAAAAAACUAAUAAUUGGUCAAGCCAGGUGUAUACCAUGUUCUCGGGAUCGGUGGUAUGUUCCUUUAGUGAGAUCAAUAAAAUAUUACCAUUACUUCCUUCAAAUUCAAUAAGUGCUUCUACCAUAAUGUUAUGUUCCGGGUAAUAAGUUUUUUUUUGGGAUCAUGCUCUCUUUAGGAACCCUUUGGCACAAUCAGCAUUUGAACUUGCUAAUCUUCGUUUAUCAUUGCAAAAGUUUAAAAUGGUCGAGUUUACUAGUGUCCUAUUGAUAUGUAGCACUCUUAACCAUUAAUUUUCACUAGCCAAGUCCAAAGCAUGCACUGUUUAGAGAUCUACUUCACUUGACAUUCUCUAGUCAGUUCACUGUUCAUGUUCUUGCUUUUGUCAUAUGCCUUUGCUUGAGGACAAGCAAAGAUUUAAGUGUGGGGGAACUUGAUAAGCACAUUUCAUAUACAUAAUUUUGGCACAUAUAUACACCAUUUGUUGAUAUAUGUUCAUCCAUUCUUACUAUGAACUCUGAUAUAUUUGGAUGAAAAUCAUAUAAAAGACCAUUUACUCGUCAUUUGUUUCUUUUGCAGAAAAGUGCACAAAGGCACUAUAAACUUCCAAGAUCUGGACUAGGUGGCUAAGAAAAUUAGUCAAGUGAAAAGAAGAGAAGGAAGAAUGGACUUGUGUGUGAUGAUAAGAAGUAUCCAGAGGGGCUAGCUAAAGAGGAGAGGGAUCUACUUGAGUCAAAAGAAGAGAAGAGAAGGGCCAAAGUGCAAUAUGGGCAAAUCUGAUCGAGAGGUGAUGGAGCAAGAACUAGCGAGAUGCUAAUUCGCGCGUGUAGAUGACCCGAUCUUUCACGGUAUUUGCAAGACAAUAAUGAACGACAGCAGCAACAGUAGCAGAAAAACGAACAAACGUAGAAGGAGAAUCUUCGGAUCAAACGAGAUGUAAGAAGCCAAAGAAAAAUACUUGCACCAGAACUAAUACAAGAUCAGGCGCAUGUACAGCAGCAUCGAAUCCCUAGGAUUCGCAGAAACUCAUCUUGGUGCCUCCCGAUGUAGGCGUUUUCUGGUAUUUUCUUAUUCAACUAAACUUCGGCCAAAUAAACUCCCCAAUAAUCUGAACAUACAAUAUUAGAAGCUGAUGAUGGCGCAGAACCUAGCAACCCUCUGCCAUUUUUCCUUGCUAUUGACCUCAUGUCUGGGUUAAGCUUGAGACAGGGUUGGAUCCUUGACGUGAUCUGGUUCGAUACAUC
rnacentral:rRNA from 1 species